rnacentral:rRNA from 1 species
AACGAACGCUGGCGGCAGGCCUAACACAUGCAAGUCGAACGCCGUAGCAAUACGGAGUGGCAGACGGGUGAGUAACACGUGGGAACGUACCCUUCGGUUCGGAAUAACUCAGGGAAACUUGAGCUAAUACCGGAUACGUCCGAGAGGAGAAAGAUUUAUCGCCGAGGGAUCGGCCCGCGUCUGAUUAGCUUGUUGGUGAGGUAACGGCUCACCAAGGCGACGAUCAGUAGCUGGCUGAGAGGAUGAUCAGCCACAUUGGGACUGAGACACGGCCCAAACUCCUACGGGAGGCAGCAGUGGGGAAUAUUGGACAAUGGGCGCAAGCCUGAUCCAGCCAUGCCGCGUGAGUGAUGAAGGCCCUAGGGUUGUAAAGCUCUUUUACCCGGGAAGAUAAUGACUGUACCGGGAGAAUAAGCCCCGGCUAACUUCGUGCCAGCCGCCGCCGUAAG